AGUGUUCCGAGUUCAUCACAGCCAUCAUCUUUAGCACCCACACGGUACCAAAAACCUUCGCAGCAGCAGUACCGGUCACAGUUAAUACAAUGAGUCAGAGCCUGAAGAAUAUUGAUGUCCUUACCAGCGAGAUCAUUGACAAAAUUGAAUUGUGCCUUAAUCCUGCGACAGCACCCCCACCACUGCUGAGGGGGCAUGUCUUAGAGGCAAAGCAAUACCCCACCACCACGAAACACGCC